GACGAACGCUGGCGGCGUGCUUAACACAUGCAAGUCGAGCGGUAAGGCCCUUUCGGGGGUACACGAGCGGCGAACGGGUGAGUAACACGUGGGUGACCUGCCCUUAGCUCUGGGAUAAGCCUGGGAAACUGGGUCUAAUACCGGAUAUGACUCCAUGACGCAUGUUGUGGGGUGGAAAGCCUUGUGCGGCUAGGGAUGGGCCCGCGGCCUAUCAGCUUGUUGGUGGGGUGAUGGCCUACCAAGGCGACGACGGGUAGCCGGCCUGAGAGGGCGACCGGCCACACUGGGACUGAGACACGGCCCAGACUCCUACGGGAGGCAGCAGUGGGGAAUCUUGCGCAAUGGGCGAAAGCCUGACGCAGCAACGCCGCGUGGGGAUGAAGGCC
rnacentral:rRNA from 1 species